UCAUCAAGCAUUGCACCCAGAGUCUGGUCUACCAGACAUUGUACCUGGAGCUUAUUUCUUUUUAUAAUUAAAACUC
rfam:Larimichthys crocea isolate SSNF unplaced genomic scaffold scaffold351, whole genome shotgun sequence.